rnacentral:tRNA from 1 species
GCCCUGGUAGCUCAGAUGGAUAGAGCGAUCGCCUCCUAAGCGAUAGGUCGCAGGUUCGAAUCCUGCUCAGGGCGCCA